rnacentral:rRNA from 1 species
UACGUAGGGGGCAAGCGUUGUCCGGAUUUAUUGGGCGUAAAGCGCUCGCAGGUGGUUCAUUGCGUCGUGCGUGAAAGACCCCGGCUCAACUGGGGAGGGUCGUGCGAAACGGGUGAACUAGAGGCCAGUAGGGGGAUGCGGAAUUCCGGGUGUAGUGGUGGAAUGCGUAGAGAUCCGGAGGAGCACCAGCGGCGAAGGCGGCAUCCUGGACUGGUCCUGACACUCAGGAGCGAAAGCGUGGGGAGCGAUCCGG